AGUUAAGUUCAUAGUGAAUUAAGUACUCACUGAGCUUGAGCUCGUCCUCUGUGGAGGUGGAGGCUGUAUCCGUGAGCUGUUCCUUGGACGAGUUGCCGAUAGGGAUGUUGUUAUUGACGUUGUAAAUAGAUUUACCUGCGGGAGAGAACGUUUCACUAUAUAAACCCGUAUUUGAAGACGUCCGAUUAACUUGAAACUUUGCAGACGCAUCAAGGAAGAUGACAAUACAGAAAUUUACUAACUUCACUCUAAUAUGCAGAUCAGUUUCAACAGGAUAAAAAAAUAUAUAAUAAUUCGCAUUGUUAUUUAAGCGUGUUUUUUCUGUCUAGUCUCAUUAUUUUCAAAUUACAUUACUUUUAAAUUU